AACGGAUAUCUCGGCUCUCGCAUCGAUGAAGAACGUAGCGAAAUGCGAUACUUGGUGUGAAUUGCAGAAUCCCGUGAACCAUCGAGUCUUUGAACGCAAGUUGCGCCCAAAGCCAUUAGGCCGAGGGCACGUCUGUCUGGGCGUCACACA
rnacentral:rRNA from 1 species